rnacentral:rRNA from 1 species
GGGCGAAAGCCUGAUCCAGCCAUGCCGCGUGUGUGAAGAAGGUCUUCGGAUUGUAAAGCACUUUAAGUUGGGAGGAAGGGCAUUAAGCUAAUACCUUGCUGUUUUGACGUUACCGACAGAAUAAGCACCGGCUAACUUCGUGCCAGCAGCCGCGGUAAUAA